rnacentral:lncRNA from 10 species
CAAAAAUUAAGUUCUACAUACUAUCUAUGGAUAAAAAGAAGUGGUUUGUAAAUUUAUCUUUAUUUUUACUAAAUUAAAAAAUUUAAAGCCAAAAUGUUAGGUCAGGAUUUAAAACAAGCAUUGGGUGACAGGGUGUUGGGCGUAAUGGUUAGAUUGAAACUCGGUGUCAGCUGGUUACUGAUUGCAUCCCCAACUUUAGGAUUUUGGUAAAAUUAAAGCAAUUAAUGCAAAUAAAGGUGCCCGAAGAGCACCCAGCAUAUAGCUCUCAUUUGUUGAUUCUGUUAGAUCAUGAUCAAUGUUAAGCCUAAAAACAAGGUGGCCACAUCAGUGGUUUGUAACCCAUGUUUAUUCUAAUCAGUCAAUCUGGGGCUAUAUAUAAUAGUAGUUGAAUGUUUAUAGUACUACCCUUGGAAAAUUCCCAUAUAUUCACACCCAGCAUGGAUAUAAAUACGGAAAGAUUUCCCAUUGAGUACUUCUCUUUAG